rnacentral:rRNA from 1 species
GACGAACGCUGGCGGCGUGCUUAACACAUGCAAGUCGAGCGGUAAGGCCCUUUCGGGGGUACACGAGCGGCGAACGGGUGAGUAACACGUGGGUGACCUGCCCUCAGCUCUGGGAUAAGCCUGGGAAACCGGGUCUAAUACUGGAUAUGACUCCAUGACGCAUGUUGUGGGGUGGAAAGCCUUGUGCGGCUGAGGAUGGGCCCGCGGCCUAUCAGCUUGUUGGUGGGGUGAGGCCUACCAAGGCGACGACGGGUAGCCGGCCUGAGAGGGCGACCGGCCACACUGGGACUGAGACACGGCCCAGACUCCUACGGGAGGCAGCAGUGGGGAAUCUUGCGCAAUGGGCGAAAAGCCUGACGCAGCGACGCCGCGUGAGGGAUGACGGCC